AGUUGUAUCCUGGCUCAGAACGAACGCUGGCGGCGUGCUUAACACAUGCAAGUCGAACGAGAAAGUUCCUUUCGGGGAACGAGUAGAGUGGCGCACGGGUGAGUAACGCGUAGGUAAUCUACCCUUAUAUUUGGGAUAACCGACCGAAAGGUUGGCUAAUACCGGAUACGCUUUUGAUUCCGCGAGUAAUCGAGAGGAAAGGUGGCCACUUUUAUAAGCUACCGUAUAGGGAUGAGCCUGCGUACCAUUAGCUAGUAGGUGGGGUAAAGGCCCACCUAGGCGACGAUGGUUAGCGGGUCUGAGAGGAUGAUCCGCCACACUGGAACUGGAACACGGACCAGACUCCUACGGGAGGCAGCAGUGAGGAAUAUUGCGCAAUGGGGGCAACCCUGACGCAGCGACGCCGCGUGGGUGAGGAAGGUUUUCGGAUCGUAAAGCCCUGUCAGGUGGGAAGAAGUGCAUGGUGUUUAAUAGACAUUGUGUUUGACGGUACCACCAGAGGAAGCACCGGCUAACUCCGUGCCAGCAGCCGCGGUAAUACGGAGGGUGCGAGCGUUGUUCGGAAUUACUGGGCGUAAAGGGCGCGUAGGCGGCCUGAUAAGUCAGAUGUGAAAGCCCACGGCUCAACCGUGGAAGUGCAUCUGAAACUGUCUGGCUUGAGUAUGGGAGAGGGAAGUGGAAUUCCCGGUGUAGAGGUGAAAUUCGUAGAUAUCGGGAGGAACACCGGUGGCGAAGGCGACUUUCUGGACCAAUACUGACGCUGAGGCGCGAAAGCGUGGGGGAGCAAACAGGAUUAGAUACCCUGGUA
rnacentral:rRNA from 1 species